GAAAGAACGGAAAGAACGGAAAGAACGGAAAGAACGGAAAGAACCUCCACAGAGACAGAAACAUAGGGCAGAAAAUUAGGUGACAGUUCAAAAACAACUGCAGAAAGAAUGGAAAGAACGGAAAGAACGGAAAGAACCUCCACAGAGACAGAAACAUAGGGCAGAAAAUAAGGUGACAGUUCAAAAACAACAACAGAAAGAACGGAAAGAACGGAAAGAACGGAAAGAACGGAAAGAUAGGAAAGACAGGAAAGAUAGGAAAGAUAGGAAAGAACGGAAAGAACGGAAAGAACCUCCACAGAGACAGAAACAUAGGGCAGAAAUUAGGUGACAGUUCAAAAACUACAACAGAAAGAACGGAAAGAACGGAAAGAACCUCCACAGAGACAGAAACAUAGGGCAGAAAAUUAGGUGACAGUUCAAAAACAACAACAGAAAGAACGGAAAGAACGGAAAGAACCUCCACAGAGACAGAAACAUAAGGCAGAAAAUUAGGUGACAUUUCAAAAACAACUACAGAAAGAAAGGAAAGAACGGAAAGAACCUCCACAGAGACAGAAACAUAGGGCAGAAAAUUAGGUGACAGGUCAAAAACAACAACAGAAAGAACGGAAAGAACGGAAAGAACGGAAAGAACGGAAAGAACCUCCACAGAGACAGAAACAUAGGGCAGAAAAUUAGGUGACAGUUCAAAAACAACAACAGAAAGAAUGGAAAGAACGUAAAGAACAGAUAGAACGGAAAGAACGGAAAGAACGGAAAGAACCUCCACAGAGACAGAAACAUAGGGCAGAAAAUUAGGUGACAGUUCAAAAACAACUACAGAAUAAACGGAAAGAACGGAAAGAACGGAAAGAACCUCCACAGAGACAGAAACAUAGGGCAGAAAAUUAGGUGACAGUUCAAAAACAACAACGGAAACAACGGAAACAACGGAAACAACGGAAAGAACGGAAAGAACGGAAAGAACGGAAAGAACGGAAAGAACCUCCACAGAGACAGAAACAUAGGGCAGAAAAUUAGGUGACAGUUCAAAAAGAACAACAGAAAGAACGGAAAGAACGGAAAGAACCUCCACAGAGACAGAAACAUAAGGCAGAAAAUUAGGUGACAGUUCAAAAACAACUACAGAAAGAACGGAAAGAACGGAAAGAACGGAAAGAACCUCUACAGAGACAGAAACAUAGGGCAGAAAAUUAGGUUACAGUUCAAAAAGAACGGAAAGAACGGAUAGAACGGAAAGAACGGAAAAACCUCCACAGAGACAGAAACAUAGGGCAGAAAAUUAGGUGACAGUUCAAAAACAACAACAGAAAGAACGGAAAGAACGGAAAGAACGGAAAGAACGGAAAGAACGGAAAGAACCUCCACAGAGACAGAAACAUAGGGCAGAAAAUUAGGUGACAGUUCAAAAGCAACAA
rnacentral:lncRNA from 1 species